GUAAUGCGUGACCAACCUGCCCCAUGCUCCAGAAUAGCUCUUGGAAACGGGUGGUAAUGCUGGAUGCUCCAACUUGACGCAUGUCUUGUUGGGAAAGUGUUUAGUGGCAUGGGAUGGGGUCGCGUCCUAUCAGCUUGUAGGCGGGGUAAUGGCCCACCUAGGCUUCGACGGGUAGCCGGCCUGAGAGGGCGGACGGCCACAUUGGGACUGAGAUACGGCCCAGACUCCUACGGGAGGCAGCAGC
rnacentral:rRNA from 1 species